AAGCUGGAAUCGCUAGUAAUCGCAGGUCAGCAUACUGCGGUGAAUACGUUCCCGGGUCUUGUACACACCGCCCGUCACACCAUGGGAGCCGGAAAUGCCCGAAGCCAGUGACCCAACCUUAGGGAGGGAGCUGUCGAAGGUGGAGCCGGUAACUGGGGUGAAGUCGUAACAAGGUAAC
rnacentral:rRNA from 1 species